rnacentral:rRNA from 1 species
CGCGUAGGCGGUCUUGUUAGUCAGGCGUGAAAGCCCUGGGCUUAACCUAGGAUGUGCGCUUGAUACUGCGAGGCUUGAGUGUGGGAGAGGUUGGUGGAAUUCCCAGUGUAGAGGUGAAAUUCGUAGAUAUUGGGAAGAACACCGGUGGCGAAGGCGGCCAACUGGACCACAACUGACGCUGAGGCGCGAAAGCGUGGGGAGCAAACAGGAUUAGAUACCCUGGUAGUCCACGCUGUAAACGAUGGGUGCUGGACGUUGGUGGGUUUACCUGCCGGUGUCGCAGCUAACGCGUUAAGCACCCCGCCUGGGGAGUACGGUCGCAAGAUUAAA